GAAGGACCAACUAAAUCGGGCGGGGCGAGGGAGGUUUCAACGGACUGGUCCUUCCCAUGGGAACAGCACUGAGAGAGAGUGCAUUUGGCAUCUGCCUUUCACCCUCUUCAACGUGGGGACAUCCUACAACACCUUUGUGGCUACAAGUUCCAGACCUCCAGCAUGACAGGGCUCCAGCACUGUGCCCUGACCUGUCGGCAGUGGAUUGAUAACCGUGUGUCCUUCCAUAUAUUUCGAUGUGAUAUUUUUCUCUGUCUCUCUUAGUAAAGGUGGUUCUUGAUGAA